GGAGGGCAGUGGUGUGAUCUCGGCUCACUGCAAGCUCCGCUUUACAGGUUCAAGCGAUUCUCUUCAGCCUCCUGAGUAGCUGGGACUACAGGCAUGCACCACCAGGCCUGGCUAAUUUUUUUGUAUUUUUAGCAGAAAUAGGGUUUCACCAUGUUGGUCAGGCUGAUCAUGAACUCCUGACCUCAAAUGACCCACCUGCCUCGGCCUCCCAAAGUGCUGGGAUCACCUGCCCACUCCCUUGGUGAGGAGCCCCCUAGGGCACCUCCACCUCCUGGAGCACAAAUGUUGUUGAGAUGAGCAGCUUGAGACAUGGUAUGGACCUAUGCGGAGGUGUCCCUAGACAAUGAUGGCAUCAGAGUGAGAGGCUGGAUGAGGAUGUGUCUGGGGGAGCUUCGAGGUGCUGUGAUGUGUAAGAGAUCAUUAAUUCCAGGAUGCCACCCCAAGGAGAAUAUGCAUGGACCAAAGAUGAGGGGUCCCCAGGAGGGUGAACCAAUAGUAAGGCCCCCAGAUUCCAUCCCUAGCCAGGCUCCCUGCUAAGUGGCAAUUAGAAAAAUUCCUCUUUACAGAAAACAGAGCAUCAAUUAGGUCCCCAAUUACAGAGCCAGUCCUCUACCCUCUAGUGAAAGCUUCCAGUGGACAAGAAAAGCUUGAGAAAGCCAGAAGGAAUAGGAACCCACAGCUCAGGCCGGGCCGAGGCUUCAUAAAUCAAAAGGACAUUUUUUUUUUUUGAGAGAUAAGGUCUCACUCCAUCACCCAGGCUGGUGUGCAGUGACCCAAUCAUGGCUCACUGCAGCCUUGAACUCGUGAGCUCAAGUGAUCCUCCCAGCUCAGCCUCCUGAGUAGCUGGGACCACAGGUGCACACCACCAUGCCUUGCUAACUUUUAUUUUUAUUUUUGAGACACAGUCUCGCUCUGUCACCCAGGCUGGAGUGCAAUGGUGCAUUCUUGGCUCACUGCAACCUCCGCCUCCUGGGUUCAAGUGACCCUCCUGCCUCAGCCUCCCAAGUAGCUGGAAUUACAGGUGCAUGCCACCAGGCCCAGCUAAUUUUUGUAUUUUUAUAGAGACAGUGUUUCACCAUGUUGGCCAGGCUGGUCUUGAACUCCUGACCUCAGGUGAUCCGCCCACCUCAGCCUCCCAAAGUGCUGAGAUUACAGGCGUGAGCUACCGUACCCAGCCCAUGGCUAAUUUUUAAACUUUUUUGUAGAGAUGGAGUCUCACUAUGUUGCCCAGGCUGGUCUCAAGCUCCUGGCUUCAAGCAGUCCUCCCACCUCAGCCUCCCAAAGUGCUGGGAUUACAGGCAUGAGCCACCAUGCCCAGCCGCAGAAGGGCAAUUAUUACACAGUGACAGUGGAAGGAAGAGAGAGACACAGUCGGUGGAUGGUGGGAAGAUAAGAACAUUCACUCUGAGGGCUUCUAGUAAUGUUGGAGAAGUGAGUGUCAGCUGAGCAGAAGGGAGGGAGGGAAGGAAGCACAGGAGGUUUGAGGAGAGAGAGAGAGGAAGUAUGAAAUCGCUGUUGCAAACCUCCUGGGGGAAUGUAGAGGGGUUGCCAGGAAGCCCACUUGAAGUCUGAAUUUAAAGUGAAAGUCCAGCCAGGCGUGAACCACCUCGCCCUGCAGGAGUUGAUUUUAAUUAUGAACCAUGAUUAAGGAAGGCAAUGACCACAGAGAGAGUGACAAUGAGGUGGGGAGGCCAAGUGGAGAGUUCUGGAGCAACAGAAGAGAGGUCAGCAGAGAGCUGUCUGAAGUCUCCUUUCUGGGUGAUGGAGGGUCCCAGGUGUGACCGCAGGCAGGGAGUGGUGGCUGAGAGGCAUGUUGGAAAAGCUCACUGGAGCUGCAGCAGUCUAAGUGCCCAGAGAGAUGCGGAGUAGGCUGGCCUGUCCACGUGGGUGACGACACCAACGUCUUGUAUGAAAUCACUGUUGCAAACCUGCUGGGGGAAUGUAGAGGGGUUGCUGCUCUACAAGACGGCAAGAAGGAUGGAGAACGCAGUCAGCCAGGAACACAAGUCCUCAAUGGAUGACGAGGUGCAAGCGGAAGACCAGCAGACAGCAGUCACUGAGAGGGACAGCAGGUGACUCCGCUGCCUUUGAAAGAGAAAGGUCUUGGACACGACCACAGGAACCAUGAAGGAUAUAGACCCUACCUUAGAUUCUACAGUACGUGGGGUAUAGG
rnacentral:lncRNA from 1 species